CAAAGCAACACAGCUGAAGGAAGUCACAGUAUAUAUACCUCCUAUCACGCAUACUGGUCAUCCUCUAAGGUUCGGGUUGAAUGAAAUGUAUUGGAGUUGGUCUCCAUUUACACAUUGAAGGGUCCUUUCAUGUGUCAGAUCAGCGUGCUGUUGGUUUCAGUUGGUCUCCGGCGGUUCGAGCACUACGAGACAGCCAGUCCGACUGCUUUCCCCACUGUUUUAUCCUAAAUCAACGGGUGUGAUUGACAGCUGUCAGACCUAAGUUGAGAUGGACGAGCUCCAGGACGUUCAGCUGACUGAGAUCAAGCCUCUGCUCACAGAUAAGAAUGGGCGUAACUUCCAGGACUUUGAUUGUCAGGAGCAUGACAUCGAGACUCCCCAUGGUGUUCUGCAUGUGACGAUGAGGGGCACCCCCAAGGGCAAUAGACCAGUCAUCCUCACCUACCAUGACAUUGGUCUCAACCAUAAGUCCUGUUUCAACACACUGUUCAACUUUGAAGACAUGCAGGAGAUCACAUCCCACUUUGCUGUGGUUCACGUGGACGCCCCAGGACAGCAGGAGGGUGCUCCCCCAUUCCCCACAGGGUACCAGUACCCUACCAUGGAUGAGCUGUCUGAGAUGCUGCCGUCUGUCAUGACUCAGCUGAAGGUGAACAGUGUGAUUGGGAUUGGAGUUGGCGCUGGAGCCUACAUCCUAUCCAGACUGGCUCUCAAUGAGCCGGCCCUGGUCGAAGGUCUGGUCCUCAUCAAUGUGGACCCUUGUGCAAAGGGCUGGAUGGACUGGGCUGCCUCCAAGAUGUCCGGUUGGACCAGCAACCUGGUGGACAUAGUGAUGGCCCACCACUUCAGUGAUGAUGAGCUGUCUGACAACCAGGAGAUCACCCAGACGUAUCGGCUGCACAUCGCCCAGGAUAUCAACCAGGAAAACCUGGCCCUCUUCUGCAAUGCCUACAACAGCCGUCGGGACUUGGAGAUUGAGAGGCCUGUCACCGGUCUGACUGACGACACGGUGAACACACUGACAUGCACUUCUCUGCUGGUGGUUGGUGACACGUCCCCGGCUGUCGAUGCAGUGGUUGAAUGCAACUCGAGGUUAAAUCCAACCAAAACAACCCUUCUUAAGAUGCAAGACUGUGGCGGGCUUCCUCAGGUCAUCCAGCCGGGUAAACUCGCGGAGGCCUUCAAAUACUUUAUCCAGGGAAUGGGUUACAUGCCCACGGCCAGUAUGACCCGCCUGGUGCGUUCUCGUACCCACUCUACCUCCAGCAUGGGCUCUGUGGAGGGGAGUCGCAGCCGCACCCACACACAGCUAGAGGGCGCCACUGCUGCCGGCCCGGGUGUCGAACAGGCCAGGCCACAGACCAUGGAGGUUUCCUGUUAAAGAACCCAGCCCAGAAAACCACCACCUCCCCCUCCCUCUUUUUCCUUUCCCAUGCUCAAGGUCAGAGAGGAUUGGAAUCCUGAGGGGGUGUCUGAAACGUGUUCUGAAAGAUAAUUUAUGAAGACAGAAGCAGUCAGGUUCUCUGCUAUAUUCUCUCACCAUUUCCUGUUGUUGUCUGUCUAUCAUGCCUGUCUGUGCAUGACUGCUGUGGUACGGCAACCUGAAAGUCAGUAAGCAGGCGGACGAUGCUGCUUGUCUGGUUUUCCUUUUGUUGUCUACCAGCUCUCCCCAUUAAAAGAGGAAGAUGUUGUUUUUUUAAUCUUUGAGAUUUGAGAUAUAUUUGUAUUUAUAACUAUUUUGUGUCAGUGUGUCAGUUUAAAGAUAACAGAUGGAAAGGCAUCAGGAGUUUUCUCUUGUAAAGUACUCUAUACGGAGUAAUGAUGCCCCUCUUUCUGUCUCCCUCUGGGGUCUUCCUCACCUUGCUAAUUGGUAAGAUCAGACCAAAUCACACCACCCCUCCUUAGUGAUCCAUUCCUUAAUCAGUCUCAUGACACCAUUUUUUUCUUGAUUCUUUUUUAAUUGUUUUUAUGUUGUGAUUUGUGGGGAGAAAAAUACCUUUGCUUUCCUGGAUUGCAAUACGAUGUGAUAAACUUGCUCCUGCUCUGUACCUUUAUACCAAGAAUAUCUGACAGAAUGACCCUCUAGUAGAUGAAACGUAAUGGACGUGUCUGUAGAAUUGCUUUUGUCUAGAUGUAUCUAGAAAUAGUUGCCUUGUUUGAUAUUUUCUUUUUUCGUGUGAGUUAUUUGAAAUGGCAGGCCCUGGGUUUUUGAUCCCACCCACAUUUAUUAUUGACGGGCAGAGAAAAGAACCAACCCACUGGGCACAGACGUCAGUUCAGUGUGUGUUCCAUGUUGGUGCAACGUCAUUUCAUCGAAAUGAUGUGGAAACGACGUUGAUUCGACCAGUGUGCCCAGUGGGAACAUUUUACUGUAGUUUAUUGAAAAUUCAAGUCAAAUGCGGAGAGUACCUAAACUAGCCCCAGCUCAGUCUGAGGUGAGUAAAUGUCUGUGAAUUGAGGUACAUUACUACCUCUUUCAUAAAAUAAAACUAAAAUAUAUUAACUUACAUUGCUUCCAGUUAGUAGAAAAUAGUAUGUUUUCCCUCCUGAUUAAAUAAAGAUGAGGUGAAAACGACAACGGGUCAGAUGCCUAAGGGACUGUGGAUUGUGUAAUAAAUGUUUUUAUAGAGUUUCUUAUUAAUGUUAUUAGUUGGUCGUUUUCUCUGUGGUUUUCCUGCAUUUCUCUCUGAUUGUACUACAGCUUGGGUGAGCACGUGGUGAUGAUGCAUUGGACUCUGUCUGCAUAGUAUACGGGGUGCUAUUAGUCAUACUGUGCUGACUAUGGCAAUUUGUACUGAUCAUAAAAUAAAGCUAGAAGCUGUACAUGCCUGGACUUUUCAUCUUAUCCUUUCUGUCCCUGGCAUGUCUGUUCUGUAACUUGGUAAACUAGCCUGAUUUAUAAUAGUGGUCCUUGGUAGUUCAGUUGGUAGAGCAUGGUGCUUGUAACGUCAGGGGAGUGACUUCGAUACCUGGGACCAUCCAUGCAUAAAAUGGAUGCGCCCAUGACUAAGUAGCUUUGUAUAAACAUGUCUGCUAAAUGGUAUACAGUUAUUGUUAUUAUUAUUGUUGUUGUUAUUAUUAUUAGGUUCGGCAUCAGCAGUUUCUCAUUCUAUGUCAGUCACUGACACUCAUGGUCUUAUUUCUAUUACAGCAUAUUUGAUGACUGUCAUUCAUAUUCCAUUCACCCAGCUCGAUGUAACAUCCAUAGGUUUAGGCUACUACAUAAUACUCAAAUCGGCACAAUGAAUAUCCCCCUGAUCACAAGCAAACACAUGUUACUCUCAUACCAGACACACACAAACAGCUCGUUGUGUGUGUAUGUAUGUGUGUGUGUAUGUAUAUAUAUAUAAUUCCUUCUCGCAUCUAUCCACUCUCCUCUCACAUGCUCCCCUUGCUUGUGGGCUUCAGUGCAGAACACAUCAGCUGUCUGUGACCAGGCGGGAAAAAAACUUUCCAAGCUAAACCUUCAUAUCAUGACUGCUAACUGCUACACACAGCCUGCAUCAUUGUCACGUCAUAGUCCACAUAGGCAUAGCUACUAGAACUAAGGCGUUAGUAAACCCACUACAAUCAUGCAGAACCGUGUAGUCCGACAAGCAGUUUAGCAGUUACACCGGCGGGCCCCAGAGGCAAUGAAUUAAUAAAGCCAAAAGCUUACCUUGACUUGGACGAGUUCCAGUAUUGGAUAGCAAUAGCCAGCUAGCUAACAUAGCAUCCCUCUGUUUGAGCUGGGUGUUUGAGUAUGCUAAACUAGCUAGCUGCAUUGGACACUAGCUAAGUAAGUGAAAAUGGGAAUAAAAAAUCUAAGAAAUAUAGAUAGCUCUCUCUUGCUUUUUAAUUUUGGAAGAAGUUAAUUUGUUCAAAACUGUUCAACUAUUGUCUUUCACGCUCUGAGUCAACUACCACAUUUUAUGCACUGCAGUGCUAGUUAGCUGUAGCUUAUGCUUUCAGUGCUAGAUUAAUUGUCUGAUCCUUUGAUUGGGUGGACAUGUCAGUUCAUGCUGCAAGAGCUCUGAUAGGCUAGAGGACGUCCUCCGGAAGAUGUCAUAAUUACUGUGUAAGUCUAUGGAAGGGGUGAGAACUAUGAGCCUCCUAGGUUUUAUAUUGAAGUCAAUGUACCCAGAGGAGGACAGAAGUUAGCUGUCCUCCGGCUACACCAUGGUGCUACCCUACAGAGUGAGGUUGAGGCUACGAUAGAACUUCAUUGCCAAACAGUGUGUUUUAAUACAUUUUUUGGUAACAAACAUAUUUAGUAUAGUUUUAUCUAAAAAUAACUGUUUUAAUGUUUCACUUUUUAUUUUUAUGAAAUUCACUAUGGAGGAUAGUCCUCCCCUCUCCUCCCCAUGGCCGAAUGACUGGGCACGUGGCACGUGCCAGACCAGACUAUCGCAUUUGGGGCCCCAGGGCACCAACCUUUGGAGAGUUGGUGCUGCAUUUCAACACAUUUUGCCAUAGUGCAGAGUAAAAUGUGCAGCUUUAUAAUGCUACUAUACACGUUUUGUCAUGAGGCAGAUCAUUAUUUAGCUAUUUUAUAGCUCAUCUCAUGCUUAACAUUUUGCCAUGAGAAAAUGAUAGUCACUCUCACUCAUAUUAUAUUAACAUGACAUAAGUCAUGGCAAAAUGUGUAGAAUGCCAGGAAAUUCAUUUUAAAACUGCAAAAACUUCAUUUCUCUACACCCCAUGGCAAAAUGGGUAUAAUUGCAGGUAAUUCAUUAUAAAACAUACAUUUUUCUCUACACCAUCAAGAUGCGGUGCCAGUAAAAAAAAAACUCUUGUUUAGGGCCCCCAAAAGGCUAGGGCCGGCCCUGGCUACUGGUAUAAUGAAGUUAGUUCAGAGGGUUCAGUAGUUUAACAGCACAAAUCAGUGUGGGCAUGCAGAACCGUGAGCCCAUAUCUCUUGAUAAUGAGUACAAAAGGGUUAUGAAGAGAAAAAGAAUUGCUCAACACUUUUACCUAAUCAACAGCAUUUACCUGAAUGAUGAAGAAUAUGAAGCUCUAUUCUGGGGGAAAAAACAUUGUGACCUCACUUCACACCAGUGUAUGUAUGCCGCCGCUCAUGCAGAUGCUGCAAAACAGAACAUUUGCACAGACCAAUUGCACCUCAUUGCUACAGCUGAUGACUCAUUGAUCAAGUCACUGAUGUCAAAGGUCUGUCUGUUCCAAUUACUACAGCCCCAUGUUCAGUAGAUAUUGUUGAACAAAAUCUUUCUUCCUUUCUCUUUGUGCAUCACUUUUUCUUUGUCUUCCCUCCACUCUUCUCCAUUUCCCUCUCUUCACUCUGAUAUCUGAGUUGUGGUGUGUACAUGUUUCAGGCCUCAUUGAAACAGGAAACGGCGUGUGUGAGGUGAAUAUAAAAAAAAGUCCUCCUGUCAAAUCUCUCCACUCAGAUGUACUAUAGAUCACUCUGCUACGCGUACAUAGACUCUACCUACCACCGAUGCCUCCUUUCCUCUUGGAACACCACAAAGGAGAACACUCUUUCUUCAUUGGAGCCUAAAGAAGUCUCCCACAGACUCUCAUACACACAUCGCACUCUCGUUCCACAUGUGAACACUACCGACAGCGUGCAACUCCCAGACCCACUGGACUCUUCUGCCCUCUGGGCGGCACCUCUAUCCUUGUGCUAGUCUACUGUGGUACUCUACAGCUCUGACAUCAACUCAUACCACCGCAUCAGAAGACUGACGUUCACCAGUGCCACAGCAGGGAAAUGCUAGUCCUCUGGUGACCCAUAAGAGCUUGACAUCGCCAUGGGCAGUGGGCCCAGUAAAGAGUGUCGGGGAUCCAGCACUCAGGCAGCCUUGCUGGGCCAGGAAGAGCCCGCUGAGUCAGUCAUACUGGAGAGCAGCAAGUAUAUGGUAGUGGCCCUGUAUAACUAUCCCACUGGUCCCCCAGCACACUGCCGCAUCCACACUGGAGAGAGACUCAGCCUGCUUUCAGACGAGGGGGAGUGGUGGAAGGUGAGAUCCUCUGCCACAGGCAAUGAGAGCUACAUCCCCAGCAACUACACAGCCAAGGUGUACCACAGGUGGCAGUAUGAGGGUCUCAGCCGAGAGAAGGCUGAGGAGCUCCUCUUUCUGCCCUACAACCAGACUGGCUCUUUUCUAGUCAGGGAGAGUAAGACCCACCCUGGUGCCAACUCCCUGUCAGUGCGUAAGAGCAGUGACCAAGAUCGUCGCUCAGUCAAACACUACCGGAUCCAACAACUGGAGAAUGGCUGGCUCUACAUCUCCCCCUGCCUCACCUUCCCCAACCUCAGAGCUCUGGUAGACCACUACUCAGAGGUCCGUGAUGGGCUGUGCUGUCUGCUAGGGGAGCCCUGCUUCAUCCAGGGGUCCAACAACGUUCCUGUGGUUACUGGGCCACUCCCCAUGGCUGUCAGGAAGCCCACCCUCAACUGGAAAGAUAUGGACAGCUCCAUGAUUUUUGGCAAGGACAAAGGCAAGGACAAUGAGGAUUCCCUGGUGAGCGAGGGAUUAAAGGAGGCCAUCAAAUCCUACCGCUUCAUGACAGAGGACUGCAAAGGCUCCAGCCACAAAUGGGACAGCUGAGCAUGGAUCUGGCAUCAUAACGACAGAGAGAUACUCAGACUAAAACAGACCAUAAGAUGGAGAGCUUUGCAUCAAGCUACCCAUUAAAGCUGAGGCAAUCCUGAGGACCAGACAUUCUGGCCAUGAACCCAAUGGAUCUCAUUAAAGGAAUGUUGUUAGGAGAACUGGAAAUCACAACUCAACCACUGCAGAGAACCAUGGUUCUCAGAGCUAUGGUUGUAGAGUGCUCAACAUUACAUUGCCAAGCAGCUGAGGCCCAUCUUUGCUUGGAUUCGUGAACAGAAUAAAUGUUUAGAUCCUGGAGGCAGACUUUGCUAGACUUAACAGAAAGUAGUUUGAAAGUGAGAUAUACAGCCUUAUGAAAGUGAUCCCGUAUCAUCAAUAAACAGACUAUAUGUUUGGUUUUGUGGAAGUACGCUACCUUGAAAACAAUUAAGGAACUGUGAGGUAUAAGAAUUAGUCUGUUUGAUUUAUGUGUUUCCUGUCCUGAACAUUAACACCUUUUAGCUGUUGCUUGUUCUCUUCCGCACCACAGUCUUGACUUUGGCACAGGAAAUGGUCAAGGUGCAGUGGAAAGCACAAUGGUGUGGCAGAGACAGAAAGUUUGGGUUGUGGUAAAGAGCAUCUCAAAGUUAUGUCAAAUAUUAUGGUAUGAAACACUGACAUGUUCUUGUGAGGUUUCAUCAACUUAAACAAUGCACUGUAGUGUGUGUGUGUAUGUAUAUAUAUAUGUUAAUAUCGAGUUUCGUGAUGUUUUUGGGUGGGUGGAAAUUAAUUUUUUAUUUUGUUUAACUAUUCUACAUUAAAAUGUUGCAUUUA